UACGGAGGGUGCAAGCGUUGCUCGGAAUUAUUGGGCGUAAAGGGCAGGUAGGUUGUCUUAUUUGUCUGAGGUGAAAGCCUUGAGCUUAACUCAAGAAGUGCCUCAGAAACGGUAGGACUAGAGUACUGGAGAGGGUCGUGGAAUUCCCGGUGUAGCGGUGAAAUGCGUAGAGAUCGGGAGGAACACCAGAGGCGAAGGCGGCGACCUGGACAGUAACUGACACUCAACUGCGAAAGCGUGGGGAGCAAACAGG
rnacentral:rRNA from 1 species